rnacentral:rRNA from 1 species
UAAACGACUCUCGGCAACGGAUAUCUCGGCUCACGCAUCGAUGAAGAACGUAGCAAAAUGCGAUACUUGGUGUGAAUUGCAGAAUCCCGUGAACCAUCGAGUUUUUGAACGCAAGUUGCGCCCGAAGCCAUCUGGUCGAGGGCACGUCUGCCUGGGCGUCACGU